rnacentral:rRNA from 1 species
UUAGCAUAUCAAUAAGCGGAGGAAAAGAAACUAACAAGGAUUCCCUAGUAACUGCGAGUGAAGCGGGAAAAGCUCAAAUUUAAAAUCUGGCGGUCUCUGGCCGUCCGAGUUGUAAUCUARAGAAGUAAUGCCCGUGCUGGACCGUGUAUAAGUCUCCUGGGAUGGGGCGUCAUAGAGGGUGAGAAUCCCGUCUUUGACACGGACUACCAGUGCAUUGUGGUAUGCUCUCAAAGAGUCGAGUUGUUUGGGAAUGCAGCUCAAAAUGGGUGGUAAAUUCCAUCUAAAGCUAAAUAUUGGCGAGAGACCGAUAGCGAACAAGUACCGUGAGGGAAAGAUGAAAAGAACUUUGGAAAGAGAGUUAAACAGUACGUGAAAUUGCUGAAAGGGAAACGCUUGAAGUCAGUCGCGUUGGCCGGGGAUCAGCCUUGCUUUUGCAUGGUGUACUUUCUGGUUGACGGGUCAGCAUCAAUUUUGACCGCUGGAAAAAGACCUGGGGAAUGUGGCAGCUUCGGCUGUGUUAUAGCCCCUAGUCGCAUACAGUGGUUGGGAUUGAGGAACUCAGCACGCCGCAAGGCCGGGUUUCGACCACGUUCGUGCUUAGGAUGCUGGCAUAAUGGCUUUAAGCGACCCGUCUUGAAACACGGACCAAGGAGUCUAACAUGCCUGCGAGUAUUUGGGUGGAAAACCCAAGUGCGUAAUGAAAGUGAAAGUUGAGAUCCCUGUCGUGGGGAGCAUCGACGCCCGGACCAGAACUUUUGGGACGGAUCCGCGGUGGAGCAUGUAUGUUGGGACCCGAAAGAUGGUGAACUAUGCCUGAAUAGGGUGAAGCCAGAGGAAACUCUGGUGGAGGCUCGUAGCGAUUCUGACGUGCAAAUCGAUCGUCAAAUUUGGGUAUAGGGGCGAAAGACUAAUCGAACCAUCUAGUAGCUGGUUCCUGCCGAGUUU